rnacentral:rRNA from 1 species
UGGUGCAUGGUUGUCGGUCAGCUCGUGUCGUGAGAUGUUGGGUUAAGUCCCGCAACGAGCGCAACCCCUAUUGUAGUUGCCAUCAUUCAGUUGGGCACUCUAGCGAGACUGCCGGUAAUAAACCGGAGGAAGGUGGGAUGACGUCAAAUCAUCAUGCCCCUUAUGACCUGGGCUACACACGUGCUACAAUGGUUGGUACAACGAGUUGCGAGUCGGUGACGGCGAGCUAAUCUCUUAAAGCCAAUCUCAGUUCGGAUUGUAGGCUGCAACUCGCCUACAUGAAGUCGGAAUCGCUAGUAAUCGCGGAUCAGCACGCCGCGGUCGAAUACGUUCCCGGGCCUU